GGUCAGCUGACACAUCCCUGCCAAUCUCCGGCAGACCCUCCCUCUCAGACCCUCCCACCUCCUGGACAGCAUCCAUGUUGAAGCUGCCUUCAACAUGGAUGCUGUCCAGGAAGUAGGAGGGUCUGGGAGGGAGGGUCUGCUGGAGAUUGGCCGGGAUGUGUCAGCUG
rnacentral:miRNA from 1 species